ACUGAUGCCUGUGAAAAUGAUCAUGUAGGUCACAGGCAAACAUCCUGCUACCUCAAGUCCCUCUGUCCAGCCUAUGGACUGGAAAAGCCUCUGGAAACCUUUUCUCUCUGUCUUCCCCACAUUCCUCACCUUUGGGCUGAUUUUAAUGCAGAAAAGACCAUAACAAAUCAGAGUUCCUUCUCUGCUCAGGGACUCCUGAGAAUCUGGAGGAAGGUGUUGCUUGUCCUUAGUAAAAAGCUCAGCCUAUGGAAACACAGGGGCCUCUCCGAGAUACUUUGUCUCCAAAGAAAACCGAAGCUAUUGUUUAUAGACUUUGGAGUUUAUUGUUAGAAAAAGGCUGGAAGAUAAACUGUGCCAAGUACUAAAUUAAAAAAGAAACAAAUGCCGAGACACCCCUGAGUAAGGAUGAAUGUGAAAGUGGCAAUUGAUGCUCAGAGAAUUUAAAUUCUCAUUUUCAGCAAUCCUUUCUUCUUUGUCAAAAAUAAUUUGUUAUGAAAUGUGAAAGAAAUAUUUAUGGCUGUUUGGUUUUCCCCUCUCAUAUGCCAUUUUGCUAAUCUUUACAAAAAUAUUGUAAGGUAGGUAAUAUAUAUACAUAUUUCACAGAUUAGAGGACUAACCUCAGAGAGGCUAAUUGACAAGCCAAGUCACUUAAAUGAAGGUAUUUUUCUCUCCACAUUUUUAUAUCUGUAGCCACAGAUCUAGGGUAAAGGACUAGGUCUGCUUUGUGCAGUACUGAUGAGCUGGUACAAUUCCUGGUACAAAGUAGGGGCUCAGUAAAUGCUUGCUGCAUAAAAGAAUGAAUGAAACUGUAAAAUGAUUAUAACAAUUGUCUCUUCCACCUAAUAGUGGCAUAAAUUGGGAUGAGCUAGGUCAUAAUGUGGAAAAAGCAACCCCAAAGUUUCAGCAGUUCAAAACACAGGUCUGUUUCUUGUAUUCUUACUUGAUGUCCAUCAAAGGUUGGCGGGGGAGGGGGAUGCGGGGGCGGGGGCUCCACUUCACUCCUCACAGUUACUCAAAGGCCGGGGCUGAUGAAGCUGUUCCUAUCUCGAAUGUUGCUACUUAUGUGUAAUGAAACCAUUUAAAGUGGAAGUCACCCACUUCUCUUUCGUCACAACUCAUUGACCAGAACUAUCCCCAUGGCCCCAACUAACUACAAGGGAGCCAGAAAGUGCAAUUGUAUCACGUGCCUGGUAAAGGGUAGAUCCAGAAAUAUUUGGCAGAGGGCACUAAUGACAUCCAUAGGACAUAGAGGUCAAAUGAAAUGAUUUAUAUAAAAAUGAUUUUUAUCACGAGAGGCAGUUAGUGGUGACUGGUGAUUAUUAGGCUUAGCAUGGCCUCAAGUCAUUGUGUUUGCUCCUACAUUAGGCUUCUCAUCAGGAAUUUAUCUUGGGCAAUGAUAGAAAGGCCCCGGGACCUUGUCAGAAGGAAUAUCAUGUCUGAUCCUGAUUCUUUUACACGUGUCAGGAUGGUUUUCUUUCUAGAUGCAAUUUUUACAGCCCCCUAGUCAUGGGAGUUUCUCAACCACACAUAGGUUGGUUAGGAAGCUACUCUCUGAUCAAGAGGAUGAAUGCCUCAAGAAGGCUCAUCACCCUAGUAUGCUUGGAUCCAUCCUAUUCUUAAGUGGUGAAUAAUAUUGUCCCAAUUCCUUUCUUUGCCAAAACACCACAGACUCAUCUGGUUUGAAGAGUUGAACUGCAGCGGUUGAAGACCAGACAGUAGAGUUUCAAGCUCUGCUGGGAUGAUUACUAGGUGGGGAUCUGUGGAUAGUGGAGAAAAGUUCUUACUCAUUUUCAUCAUUGAGUAUGGGCCAGUGGCAUAGGUCAGCUGGAAUUUGACCAGAUAAGGUUCCCAUGUAUCCUUUUUGGCAGAUGUA
rnacentral:lncRNA from 1 species